rnacentral:tRNA from 1 species
ACCCACGUGGUGAAAUUGGUAGACAUGCUACUUUGAGGGGGUAGUGGGCGAAAGCCUGUGCUGGUUCGAAUCCAGUCGUGGGUA